rnacentral:rRNA from 1 species
UACAGAGGGGGCAAGCGUUGUUCGGAAUUACUGGGCGUAAAGGGCGCGUAGGCGGCCUGUUAAGUCGAACGUGAAAUCCCUGGGCUCAACCCAGGAACUGCGUCCGAUACUGGCAGGCUUGAAUUCGGGAGAGGGAUGCGGAAUUCCAGGUGUAGCGGUGAAAUGCGUAGAUAUCUGGAGGAACACCGGUGGCGAAGGCGGCAUCCUGGACCGAGAUUGACGCUGAGGCGCGAAAGCCAGGGGAGCAAACGGGG